UACGUAGGGGGCUAGCGUUGUCCGGAAUCAUUGGGCGUAAAGAGCGUGUAGGCGGCCCGAUAAGUCCGCUGUGAAAGUCCAGGGCUCAACCCUGGAAUGCAAGUGGAACGUGUCGGCUGGAGUCCGGAAGAGGCGAGUGGGAUUCCUGGUGUAGCGGUGAAAUGCGCAGAUAUCAGGAAGAACACCCGUGGCGAAAGCGGCUCUCUGGGACGGUACUGACGCUGAGACGCGAAAGCGUGGGGAGCGAACAGG
rnacentral:rRNA from 1 species